GUAGGGCCUGAAAAACAAAUGGAACUUUGCAGAGAACCCAAGAGUCCUUCUGCAUCUAAGGAAAAGCUGAGUGUGGACCUGCUGUCAGUGAAACAGGAAGAGGAAGGAGAGUCCUAUUCUGGAACCUCAUCCCGAGUCCAUGGAAGAUGAAUAUGAAAAAAUCUUCAAAUUGCUUAAAGGAGUGCAAGGACCUCCAGAUGUAAGGAAACAGUUUGUUGAAUUUGCCAUCAAAGAAGCAGCAAGAUUUAAAAGAGGGCACUUAAUCAAGCACCUUAAGAUAAUACUAGAAAAAAUAGAUUCUGACCAUUUUCUCAACAAAGACAUUUGCAUUCUAAACAUAUAAUCCUGUUAUCAUCAUGAUCAAUAAGAAAUAAUGACCAGAUUGCCAUCUUCUGGAUGGAAGGGAAUGUUGUCAAAGCCUCUCAGCAUGUAUUUGGUUAACAAAAUUGUCUCCAGAAGCUAAGAAAAAGCAUUGGAAAUUUAAUGUUAUAAAUUUCUGUUAGUAAAAGCUGGGCAUUUGCCCUAAGCAUUUUAUUUGAAUGAAUAAUUUGUUGUUUGUCUUUUCACCUGAGGUGGGGGUGUUAUUAAAUCACCCAGUAAAUACUGUUACAGUUCUGGUUUCUUCAGCAUGUCACCAUGUGUAGCUGGUAUUUAUUACUGCACCCUUUCCCUAUCCAUUUCUUAUUUUUCCUCCUGAGGCAGCACUGAGGCAAAACUCAGCUGGUUUUGGUGCUUGGCUUGAGGGAGGACUCCAACCUCAAUUACAAAAGAGUCUG
rnacentral:lncRNA from 1 species